AGCAGCAUCCGGCGACGCCUGCACGCGACGACGAGUCGAGCUUCGACGAGCGGUAGCUGAAAACCAAACCCACGCAUCCUCUUCGACGAUUGCCACCUUCGAAGGACCCACGCCGCUCGUUUCAUAGAACCCACCUCGUUUGACGACGUUAGCGACUUGGUAUUAGCAACGCACACGGUCCGAACACCCUGGCAGCAGCGUUUUUCUCUCUUUCGACAAGUCAUGCCAGUUGGUG
rnacentral:misc_RNA from 1 species